rnacentral:rRNA from 1 species
GACAGAGGGGGCAAGCGUUGCUCGGAAUUACUGGGCGUAAAGGGCGCGUAGGCGGUGCGGCAAGUCACCUGUGAAACCUCUGGGCUUAACCCAGAGCCUGCAGGCGAAACUGCCGUGCUGGAGUGUGGGAGAGGUGCGUGGAAUUCCCGGUGUAGCGGUGAAAUGCGUAGAGAUCGUGAGGAAGACCAACGGCGAAGGCAGCUCUCUGGACAAUUCCUGACGCUGAGGCACGAAGGCCAGGGGAGCAAACGGG